CCCAAGGACACUGAACAAUGGCACAUCACUGCCUGUCCUGGAGGGCAAGUCCCCGAGGUCUGUGGCUGACAGCACCCCGCCUCCCCACCCUGCCCUGCUGAGUGGGUCCUGAGACAAAAGAAUACCAAAUUCCUCCCAGCUCUCAGCACCCGGGGGCCUGGAGCUGCCUCAGAUAGGGGCUGGGGAUGGAGGAGAAUUGACCUGUUGGGCUCAUCACCCACUGCGAUCUCAGCACAUUUCCCUGAGCCUCUGAGCAGAGAAGCCCCUCUGGUUGCAAAUGUGUGAGUGAAAAGGCCUCCUGGCCCCUGGUUCUCACCUGAUCAGGCGCCCUCAUGGGCACUGGCUUACACCCCCCACCCCCAUGGCCUCACCUGGGGCUACUACUCCAGGGGCACGUUUCUUCUGUCAUGAAAUCCUGCCCGUCGCUGAGGGUGGGCGCCCCAGGGCUGGUGUCCUUGCUCCACAUCUCCUGUUCACCUGGACCCCGGGAGCAGAGCCUGCAGAAGCAAAGCCCCGGGGCCGGCAGACCCCUCAUGUUCUGGAGUAACCAGGGAAGUGUGGCUGAGCGAGACGUUGGUGGUGAAGACAUCCUUCGUGGCGCUGAGACAGCACUGAGGAAAGGAGAAGUAUCUUCUCUUUUGAAAUCUGCCCCUUCCCUUCUGGAUUUCCUCCCUUCCAAACCCCACAGUACAACAAUCACAGUCUCCGUUUCCCAGACCUCCCGCGAGCCAGGCUCCCCUCCGUGUCCUUGGCGUGUAUCAACAGGCGGAAUCCUCACCUCCACAGCCCCGUGUCCCUCUGCUCGGUCCCCCUGAGACUGAACCCCCGACCUAGGGGAGAGUGACCCCAUCCUGCCUGUGCCCCCCACUGAAGCUCCUGCCGUGGACAGCUCAGAAGUCAGGAGCCUCAGUGCCUCCCCUCUGCACAGUGAUUCCCUGGGGACAGUGUCCAGCUCUACUGUGUUGACCUCAUUGUGCAGAAAGGGGGUGCCCACCUCGUACCUGCUGGCAGGGGGAAUGAGAGGCUGCCUGCUCACCCCACCUGCACCCCUGUCUCUCAUGGCCCCGAGUCCCAUCUCUGAGCUACACAGACAUCCGCAGCCUGUGACUCAGGGGUCUGGCCAGAUGGGACUCAUUUUCACCCUGCAGAAAAUGUCACCUAACGG